rnacentral:tRNA from 1 species
GCAUAUCUGGCCUACUGGUUAGAGCACUGGACUAGGAUUCAAGAUACUUGGGUUCCAUUCCCAAAUUAAGCC